CCAAUAAUAAAUCAUGACCUUCUAAUGUUAAAAUCUAGUAUUCCUUAAAACAAUCCAUUCUUUUACCCACAUCAAUGUUGCUGCCUGGUAAUAUAAUUCCCAAUUGGGCAGUGAGAAACCUCUU